GACGAACGCUGGCGGCGGGCUUAACACAUGCAAGUCGAACGGAAAGGCCCUGCUUUUGUGGGGUGCUCGAGGGGCGAACGGGUGAGUAACACGUGAGUAACCUGCCCUUGACUUUGGGAUAACUUCAGGAAACUGGGGCUAAUACCGGAUAGGAGCUCCUGCUGCAUGGUGGGGGUGGGAAAGUUUCGGCGGUUGGGGAUGGACUCGCGGCUUAUCGGCUUGUUGGUGGGGUAGUGGCUUACCAAGGCUUUGACGGGUAGCCGGCCUGAGAGGGUGACCGGCCACCAUGGGACUGCGAUACGGCCCAGACUCCUACGGGAGGCAGCGGUGGGGAAUAUUGCACAAUGGGCGGAAGCCUGAUGCAGCAACGCUGCGUGCGGGAUGACGGCCUUCGGGUUGUAAACCGCUUUCGCCUGUGACGAAGCGUGAGUGACGGUAAUGGGUAAAGAAGCACCGGCUAACUUCGUG
rnacentral:rRNA from 1 species